AAAAUUUUUUAAAUUAUAAGAUAAUAAAAUAAAAAUGUGCUAAAUCAUAAGUGGGACGGUUAGGGCUUAGUUUGGUAUUGAAGUCUAUCUAACGAUAGAAUGGAGUUGAGAAAAAGCAUAUAGGGUUAUGCUUCUGCGUUCUCCGAUGGGACCAAAGAAAAUUUAUCGUAACCGACUAAUUGCAAUAUGCGGAACGCAAUAUUAUGUACGGAAACAAACAGGGUAUUUUUCCAUCGUCGUUUCUCACCGCACGUAACGCAAUCUCCCCGCAAUUCCAAACGAACCCUAAGCGUGCCCUAGCUGGGACUUUGG
rnacentral:lncRNA from 1 species